rnacentral:lncRNA from 1 species
AUUUAGGGUUUAGGGUUUAGGGUUUAGAGUUUAGGGUUUAGAGUUUAGAGUUGAGAAAUGAGGUUUUGGGGAUAAGAUUUCAAAUUUUGAAAAAUAAAAAAAUUAAAAUUUUCAAAGGAUAAACUUAGAAAUGUGCUAUUUUGGUCAUUUUAGUUUUGAAGUGUUAUUUUUGUGAUAUAAACUUAGAAAUGUGCUAUUUUGGAGAUUUGCCCAAUAUAAAUUGACAUUAAAUGUAAUAUAUGAAUUAUUACCA